GGCCUUGUAGUCUAGAGGUACGAUACUUGCUUUGGGUAAUCAUGUGAAAUACAUGCAAGACGCUGCAAGUGGCCUGGGUUCGAUUCCCAGCAAGGCCC